rnacentral:rRNA from 1 species
GACAGAGGGUGCUAGCGUUAAUCGGAAUUACUGGGCGUAAAGCGUGCGCAGGCGGUUCGUUGUGUCGGCGGUGAAAGCCCCGGGCUCAACCUGGGAAUGGCCGUUGAAACUGGCGAACUGGAGUGUGGGAGAGGUGAGUGGAAUUCCCGGUGUAGCGGUGAAAUGCGUAGAUAUCGGGAGAACACCAGUGGCGAAGGCGACUUCCUGGCCUGUUCUUGACGCUGAGGCGCGAAAGCUAGGGUAGCAAACGGGG